UGUUUAUACAGGAGUUUCCUCCCAUAUUCCUUCUCCCAUUUUUCUGACCUGCUGUUUCUCUGCUCAUCAGAGAGAGAAGGGCCCUGAGCUGGGUGCUGGGCGAUGAACAGCCUGCAAGAGUGAGGGUCCCAGCCCCCAGUCCCUCCCAGGGACACAUGGAGAGCCUGAGAGGGCAUACCCAGCGGCUCUGGGGCCAGCAAGGAGGGUGACAAGGGAGACCCUGAUGGAUCAGAAGAGUCGGCAAGAGUACUAAAAGGGCUGCAUUUGCCUCUGACUUUACUUGGGGUGUCAAAUACAUCACAACAUCCAUUUUAAGAGCAGUACUAAUUCAGUGCCAUCUUAUCAUAUGAGAAAAGAGGAAAAGACACUGCCAUUUCACCCUCUCAACACCUCUUCCUAUGUGUUCCUUGAAUCCAGGCUGCUGUAUCUUGUUUGUCUACUCUCCUACGUAAACAAGGGUAAUCUUUCCUCAUAGGGGAGUGUGCCCAUGACUCCUCCACAGAACACAAAGGAGUCACAGUGAAGCACUCCUUUAUGCGCAACAGCUCCAAUCUCAUACAGUAUCAAAUGGUGUGAAGGAGCACAAGCCAAGGUGGUUAGCUUGAACAAGCCUGUGUGUAAAUAACUCUGGCAGAGGGCCCAAAGGAAGGGGAGUCCUGUUUGCCUGCUAAUGAACAAAUGGCUGUAUUUCCUGAAGGAAAAAUAUUUUUCUGCUAUCUUGAGAUUUCCUUAAAAAAAAAAAAAAGUGAUUUUCUCCACAUAAAGUAUUUCCAGAUGCAGAACUAACAUGCUGUGUGCAUCAACUACUUGAUAAUAACAUGUCAUCACUUGACCUUGGAAGAGGGUGAAAAAAUGAAAAAGGCAGAAUUUUCUGAAAUUAUGCCCUUUCAUGGGAACAUUUUUUAAGCCAGUGAAUCCUGGGAAACUGUUUUUUAAAUAAAAUUUGAUUACUUUUA